UACGUAGGUGGCAAGCGUUGUCCGGAUUUAUUGGGUUUAAAGGGUGCGUAGGCGGCCCCUGUAAGUCAGUGCUGAAAUACCCCGGCUUAACCGGGGGGGGUGGCAUUGAUACUGCAGGGCUUGAGUACAGAUGAGGUAGGCGGAAUUGACGGUGUAGCGGUGAAAUGCAUAGAUAUCGUCAAGAACACCGAUAGCGAAGGCAGCUUACUGGGCUGUAACUGACGCUGAUGCACGAAAGUGUGGGGAUCAAACAGG
rnacentral:rRNA from 1 species